rnacentral:rRNA from 1 species
GACGAACGCUGGCGGCGUGCUUAACACAUGCAAGUCGAGCGGUAAGGCCCUUUCGGGGGUACGACGAGCGGCGAACGGGUGAGUAACACGUGGGUGACCUGCCCUCAGCUCUGGGAUAAGCCUGGGAAACCGGGGUCUAAUACUGGAUAUGACUCCAUGACGCAUGUUGUGGGGUGGAAAGCCUUGUGCGGCUGAGGAUGGGCCCGCGGCCUAUCAGCUUGUUGGUGGGGU